GAUGAACGCUGGCGGCGUGCCUAAUACAUGCAAGUCGAGCGGCAGCACGGUCUUCGGACUGGUGGCGAGCGGCGGACGGGUGAGUAACGCGUAGGAACGUACCCCAAAGCGAGGGAUAACUGCUCGAAAGAGUAGCUAAUACCGCAUGUGAUCUAAGGAGUAAAGCUUCGGCGCUUGGGGAACGGCCUGCGUCCGAUUAGCUAGUUGGUGAGGUAAAAGCUCACCAAGGCGACGAUCGGUAGCUGGUCUGAGAGGAUGAUCAGCCAGACUGGGACUGAGACACGGCCCAGACUCCUACGGGAGGCAGCAGUAGGGAAUUUUCCACAAUGGGCGAAAGCCUGAUGGAGCAACGCCGCGUGCAGGAUGAAUGCCUUCGGGUUGUAAACUGCUUUUAUAUGUGACGAAUAUGACGGUAGCAUAUGAAUAAGGAUCGGCUAACUCCGUGCCAGCCGCCGCCGUAA
rnacentral:rRNA from 1 species